GUCACCACUUUGGCUAGAAGAGGCACAGACAAAAUGUGAUUCUGUCUCCAGUAACCUUGGAGACUUGACAGCGACACCAACGACAUGUAGAUCAGAAGACAGAAAAACUUAUGUAGAUCCUCUGUCUCUAUGUCAGUCCAAUUGUACUUCUUCCCUAUUUCCCAGUUUUUUACAGCACUUUUGUUGGUGUUACAGCAGCUUGUCCUAACUGUGUCAAUGGCAAAAAAAACGACAGAAAAAGAUAUUUUGGACUUUGGGGGGAAAGUGUCUCCACCUGGACUCCUGGUGGUUCUUCAUGGUUGAAACCUGCUUACAGAUGGGGCAGUGUCAGCAUCUUCCUUUGUCUUCCAAGGCCCAGAGAGGAGGCGUGGCUCUGCUGCCAGAGUCAGCGGACAUCUGGACCUGGAGCUGUGGUCCUGGAUUGAACAACAGCUGAGGAAUAUAGAUGCAUUGAACUUUGUGUGAGCACCUGCAGUGGACCAAAGCCCAAAAGAUUGCAGACUGGAUCAGGACAACCAACUGCCACACCCUCGAGGACAAACAGAAUUCAUACUGUUUUUGAUAAAGAAAACAAUGUGUUUGUUGACAGUACUGUUGUUAAUGUUCAAAUAAAAUGGAGACAUUUCAAAGAUGCUGGCUUGUGUAACAGUCAAAAAGAUAAGACUGAGUCACAAAAGAGGACCGGGAUAUGCAACUGCCACACCCUCGAGGACAAA